UACGAGGGGGGCGAGCGUUGUUCGGAAUUAUUGGGCGUAAAGGGUGCGUAGGCGGUUUGGUAAGUCUUGUGUGAAAUCUACAGGCUCAACUUGUAGUCUGCACGAGAAACUGCCGGGCUUGAGUGUGGGAGAGGUGAGUGGAAUUCCUGGUGUAGCGGUGGAAUGCGCAGAUAUCAGGAGGAACACCGGUGGCGAAGGCGGGUCUCUGGGCCAUUACUGACGCUGAGGAGCGAAAGCGUGGGGAGCGAACAGG
rnacentral:rRNA from 1 species